rnacentral:rRNA from 1 species
AACGAACGCUUGCGGUAUGCUUGACACAUGCAAGUCGAACGGAUGCAUGCGGAGCUUGCUCUGCGUGUAUUAGUGGCGAACGGGUGAGUAACAUGUAAGAAUCUACCCAUCAGUACGGAAUAACAUUUGGAAACGAGUGCUAAUACCGUAUAUUCUCUAAGGAGGAAAGAUUUAUCGCUGAUGGAUGAGCUUGCACAAGAUUAGAUUGUUGGUGGGGUAAUGGCCUACCAAGUCUACGAUCUUUAGCUGGUCUGAGAGGAUGAUCAGCCACACUGGGACUGAGACACGGCCCAGACUCCUACGGGAGGCAGCAGUGGGGAAUAUUGGACAAUAGGCGAAAGCUUGAUCCAGCAAUACCGCGUGAAUGAUGAAGGCUUUUUAGUUGUAAAGUUCUUUUAGCAGGGAAGAUAAUGACGUUGUACCUGCAGAAAAAGUCCCGGCUAACUCCGUGCCAGCCGCCGCCGUAAU